CCCUUAGAUGUCCUGGGCCGCACGCGCGCUACACUGAACGGAUCAGCGCGUUUUCCCUUCCCGAGAGGGACGGGUAACCUGCUGAACCCCGUUCGUGGUAGGGAUCGGGGCUUGCAAUUAUUCCCCGUGAACCAGGAAUGCCCAGUAAGUGCAAGUCAUAGGCUUGCGUUGAUUACGUCCCUGCCCUUUGUACACACCGCCCGUCGCUACUACCGAUUGAACGUUUUAGUGAGGUACUCGGACUGAGCCUCAGAAGAUUCACGUCUUUUGUGCUGCUCGGGAAGAUUCCCAAACUUGAGCGUUUAGAGGAAGUAAAAGUCGUAACA
rnacentral:rRNA from 1 species